AAGGAGUUGGGGAUUUAGCUCAGUGGUAGAAUGCUUGCCUAGCAAGCGCAAGGCCCUGGGUUCAGUCCUCAGCUCUGUGAAAGGAAAAAAAAAGACAAAAUAAAUAAUUUAGGAAGUAUAUGUUAAUUGAGGGAAAGAAUAUAAGUAAAUCAAAUUACAUCAUUAUU
rnacentral:sRNA from 1 species